AGUGAACGCUGGCGGUAGGCCUAACACAUGCAAGUCGAACGGCAGCACAGUAAGAGCUUGCUCUUACGGGUGGCGAGUGGCGGACGGGUGAGGAAUACAUCGGAAUCUACUUUUUCGUGGGGGAUAACGUAGGGAAACUUACGCUAAUACCGCAUACGACCUACGGGUGAAAGCAGGGGAUCUUCGGACCUUGCGCGAUUGAAUGAGCCGAUGUCGGAUUAGCUAGUCGGCGGGGUAAAGGCCCACCAAGGCGACGAUCCGUAGCUGGUCUGAGAGGAUGAUCAGCCACACUGGAACUGAGACACGGUCCAGACUCCUACGGGAGGCAGCAGUGGGGAAUAUUGGACAGUGGGCGCAAGCCUGAUCCAGCCAUACCGCGUGGGUGAAGAAGGCCUUCGGGUUGUAAAGCCCUUUUGUUGGGAAAGAAAAGCAGCAGGUUAAUACCCCGCUGUUCUGACGGUACCCAAAGAAUAAGCACCGGCUAACUUCGU
rnacentral:rRNA from 1 species